CUUUUACUGGAGUAAUAUUUUACCAUAUGUAUCUGUACUUUUACUCAAGUACUUGAUUUGUGUACUUCGUCCACUACUGCCGGAGACUCAGCGUCAAAUGGAUGAACUACAUUAUUGACUCACUGUCCCUGAGAAAGGGCAUUUACUACCAGGCAGAGGUCCUGGGACAAACCAUCACAUGGAUCACACCAUAUCAGUCUGCCCAUGAUGUGUCUUUUGUCAAAUUCAAGCUUGCUCGGUAAAUAGUUGAAUUUUAGGAGGCAGCGCCGGACCAUUUCCCUGCUGAAGGAAACUUAUUUGACUUGGAGAAAAUGGAGGCGAGAGAGAAGAUGGAGCAAAACAAACAGAAGAAGCUCUUUUCGAAGAACAGAAGUUUUUCCUAAACAAAGAAGUUCCCAGGGAAUCACUGGCUUUUCUCAUCAGGUGAUUCGGUGGACAGGUGUCCUGGGAUAAAUCCCUGUGCAUCGGCAGCACAUAUGAGGAAACAGAUGAAAUGAUCACACAUCACAUUGUGGACAGACCUACCGUCGACAAACAGUAUCAACAGGUACUACAUCCAGCCCCAGUGGGUGUAUGACUGUGUGUGAAGAUGCUGUUACCUGAUGAGGAAUAUUACCUGGGAGUUACACUGCUGGCUCAUUUGUCAUCUGUCGCCAUUCAUGGAAGAGAAGACGGAAAAAGAGGAGCAGGAGGAGGAUGAAGAUGACGAAGAGGAAGAUGAUCAAAGUGAGUAAGAAGAUGAGUCUGAAGAUGAAGCAAAUUUGGCUUAAAUGGAGGAGAAGAAAACUCAGGGAAAGGUGACCCCUGGUAAAGUGAAACCAGAGAACCGCAUGCAAACCAAACAAGAGGAGAAAACAGAGGAGAAGAGGCUGACCAUUGUGAUGAUGGAGAAGAGAGAGAAAUACCUUUAUGACAAGAUAAUGUUUGGCUAACAAGCUGGCAGCUAAGAGGAAAGCUCACGAUGACGCCAGCAAAGCAGACAAGAAGCAACAGCAGAAGAAAAAGUGCUGAUUUUUAUAUGUAAUUGUCCUUUGUCCUAUGUAAGUCCUUCUUGUGCUUUUUCUCUCUGCCAAGAGACUUUGAGAAGUGUUUCUUCUCUCAUUUCAUCUCAUUUCAUCUCAUUGCAUCAUUUACAGUUUUUUACAGACGCUAGGACACAUUUCUCAAUACUUAGGUCACUUUUGCAAAACUCUUCACACAGUGAGCACAACAGAAGUCUACUGUAUGUGGGCUAAACUGAGGAUCAAUUAUCAUUGCUUUGGCACAAAAUGCAUUAAAUGACUACAUCUCUCAAAUUUCAUGAAUUCUUUUCUCAGUCAGACACAAGAAGUGCCAAAACUCUUUACGUAUGGGCCAAUUUGCACAUGCUUACAUACUGUUUUCAAAACUGUUAAACUGAUGUUCAAAACAAUUCAGUUUUUUACAGACGCUAGGACACGUUUCUCAAUACUUAAGUCACUUUUGCAAAACUCUUCACACAGUUCUCCUAACCAACUUUCAGCUUGGCAAAGCAGUUCAUUUCACAUUCAAAAAUGCACUACAACUACCAAAACACUUCAUUCAGGUCUCAAAUCAACUCAUUCUUCCAGAACACUAGCAAUGGUCGAAGCCGACAAACACACUUUGUCACCCACAAAACAAUGACCUAAAAAACACUAACAACAUGUAGCAUUAUACAAUGUUUUCUUGUGUAAAACAAGAACACAUUUCUAAUAAACUUACUGUAAGAUAAUUAUUUUCUUUUAAUGAAUGUAUUUAUUCUGUGUGCAUGUUUCAAAUUUGUGAACAUUUUUAAUGUACUGAUUUGGACAAAGGAAGUUUAUUUUAAUUGAGUUGAAAAGAACUGAUGACAAAAAGCUGCCAUAUCAACAUUGCAAAUAGCUCUCAGUAUGCUUACUAGAGUAUGAGUUACUACAUUGACUAUUUACUCACGCUAGUCAUAAAUUGUACAUUGUUUGAUAAAAUAGAAGGCAUGUACACUGCUGUUUAAAAGAUUCCUUUUUAUAGAAAUUUAUAUUUUUAAUUAGUGAGGAUGCAUCAAAAAAGUAAAAAGAUAAAUGCUUAAAGAUA